ncrna:unclassified sequences S10-Clostridia ribosomal protein leader
UGAUAGCGUUGAAACGGAGGUUGCUGUAUCGUAUAGAUACAGGUUUUUCGUGGAGCGAAUGUCAAUAAAGAAUUACUGACGACAA